rnacentral:lncRNA from 1 species
GAGAGUCUAGCCUUCUCCCCAUUUCCAGCACGUCAGUGGCCUGCCGCGCUCCCAGUGGCGAGAGUCUAGCCUUCUCCCCAUUUCCAGCACGUCAGUGGCCCGCCGCGCUCCCAGUGGCGAGAGUAGCCUUCUCCCCAUUUCCAGCAUGUCAGUGGCCCGCCACGCUUCCAGUGGCGAGAGUCUAGGGCAGGUUUGCUUAGUGUCUUCCUCUGGCUUGAAUUUGACAGGUGGCAGUGCUUUCCUGUCACCAGUUCUUGAGGGCUGUGUGUCCCGGGGAGGAGUGAGCAUGCCCACGCCUCACAGGCCCCAUGCACGCCUGGGCGCAGGAGAGCAUCUGUGGUUUCAUAGGGAGUUCCUGAAAAGCCACAUAGUGACUGAGUCUUCAAACCCACCGAUUCUGAAGAAUGACAAGAUUGGGAAGAAACUCUGUGAUAUUGGAUUGUGACAAAGAUUGUUUUUUCCCCUCAAUAAUCUAUUAGAUUGGGCUGACUGUACAAGUGACACCUGGAAAAACAAAUUCACCAGUUUUAGAAUAGCAAAGGGAAAGAGUAACUGCUUAUCUUGACCGUGACCCUGCUCGACUGCGCCCAUGCCUGCGCCUGCCCUGGAGGCCUGGGUCCCGGGCGGGCAGCAGGCUGCAGUGUCCCGAGUAUUCGAUUUCAUUCUUGUUAUUAAAGCAAGUUGCCAUAUUUCACAGCCUUGAACUAAAGCCUAAUUACCAGCUCUUGGUUUUGUGUCAGUGCCCACAGGGGGUAGGUCGAUGGUGCUUAACAGAGAUUAAGUGCGGUAAAAUAGGAAUAAUAUUUAUCCAAAACAUUUUUAAAAAUAGGGUUGUGUCAAAAAAGAGAAAAGCGGCCGCGGUGCCAGCGAGCUUUGGGAGGCCGUGCUCGUGCGCCAAGGUGUGUCACGCUCACGCAGCCACACGCGUGUCCCACAGUGCACAGCUGUGCUUCUCGUUCCUCCCGGGGAAUUUUGUGUAGACAAUCUUACUGAUGGAGAGGUGAGGGAGGCCGUGGUUGUGCGCUGUGACGUAUUGGGAUUUUCACCUCAGUAUUUAUGAAGUUUUAUCCAGAAUCUUCUAAGAGUGGAUACCUGUCUGCCAUGGGUUUCAGUCUUAGUGAGCCAGACUGUUUGUUGUUCCUUUAGUACUCCAGAAGAGAGAUGCCUAUUUUUUCCACAGCCCUAUGGAAUUUGCAAUCUGUGAUUGCCUUGUAAAAAGAUGAGUGCGUAUGUCACUACACUAAAGAUUUGGUGUUUCUAAAUACUCAAAGAUAGUGGUGAGCACAAUGUAGUCAUUUAACGGCACAGACCGUACCAGACCCAAUUUGCAAGUAUUGGGUCUUAAACUUCAAGUGCAAUGUAUAUGAAAACCAAUCUGAGCCUUGUAUUCUCUUAAAUAUUUAUUUUUUUUUAACGUAUGAGAUGUUAAAAGAGGGUUACCAUUCAUUUCAGUGCUGCAUGGAGGAGGCAGAAGUCAGCAAUAAUUUCCUUCCGUUGUGAAGUUGCUUUGUCGGUAUGUGUCCACUGAGCCCUGGUCCUUUGAAAUACUCCAGUUUUGUGGGUUUAGUAAACUUGUAAUUUUUACUUACAAAUUUACCUUUUUGUAUUUUGCAAUUUAAAUAUUUUGGGUUUGUUUUAAAUUCCGUGAAAGAGGCUUGAUGAAAAGACUCCGUUGACUCUCAGUCGGCCGUCGGCAGGACGGGGCCUGGGACCGAGUGGCGUGUGGCUGUGGACGUGUGCUCAGCUGCGUCCAUGUGACGAUCCUCGUUGCGGUGGUUUUGUUUUGUUUUGAGGAAAAUAUCUUGGAGUAAAUUUUAAGUUACUGUAGCUAAUUUGUUUUAGAGGAGUUUUGUUCAAAAGAAAGUGGGAUCAUUCUGAAUUUUGCAAUGACCCCUUAUACAUUUUCUGAAAAUGAAAACAAAUGACUAGCUUUGUGAAAAGACUUUUCAAUGAAGAUGUCAACAUUUUAUGAAAAACCACAAGUCAUUAGAUGAAAGCAGUAAUUGAAUCUUUAAAAUAUACUUGAUCAUGCACAAACAAUAAGUAUUUUCUCUCUUAAACUGGAAGUAAAUCUGUAUCUGUUAGAAAUAAUGUAGCCAAAAAAUGUGAAUCUGAAGAAUUUUUUUGCCAAUACUUUAUAGCAAGUACAUGAACCAAAGUGAUUCGAGUUUGUAAAAAUGUAAAAUAGUAUGAACAAAUUUGCACUACCCCAG